GCCCAGGUGGUGAAAUUGGUAGACACGCCACUUUGAGGGGGUGGUGCUCGUUGGAGCGUGCAAGUUCGACUCUUGUCCUGGGCA
rnacentral:tRNA from 1 species